rnacentral:lncRNA from 1 species
AUAGUGCUCAUGCGUGAAUGAGAUCGUGGAGGUGUGCGGCGAGUUGUGAUGUAAUGUGAACAUAAAUCUCUCAGGUUCUAUAAUACGCCGUGUUCCCUAUCACACAUAUUUCUCCCAUUAUACAAAAUAUUUUGCAGAAUCACUGAUGCUAACUGACUCAAAUCAAAUGCCAAAACACUGAACUUAAAGGGAUAUUCCGGCGUAAUAUUAAGAUGGUCAAACACACCUUAACACUGAUUUAGACACCGUCUAGAGAGAUGAAUGUUGUCGACCAGUUGCUUCUCUGGUUAAACCAACUUAAGCAACGACCGGACGACAGCAAUACACAGCGGUCUAUGUCUCCAUGCGCAAACCUCAACCAAAACGCCACUCUAUAGCCACAAAUAAUGUUCAGAACAGCACCUAACAGUACAUAUAGGGUCCCAACCAUAGUACUAGCCAUCAAACAUCUUUUUAGCUUUGCCUGGUUUCUUUAGCAAAGAGACCAAACUGAACUAACCCACUCUCCUCCAGCAGCCGCUUGUUUGAGGGGGGAGCCCUGACGAGUCGAUCACUGAGUGCAGCAGAUCAUUUCCAUGAAGUAAUAAUUAUCAUUAUAAUCAUUUUGCACUGCAGACGCGGUAGUUCUUCUGCCUUAGCGUCUCGGUCUGAUUGCAUUUCUAUGAAGUAAUAAUCACACAUUUUUCAGGAAAAUAGUGAUUAAGCAAAAAAUACGUUUGAGAGAAAAAAAACACGUUCCCACAAGUUAAAAUAUAAAAUAUUAAGCUUAUAAAUGAACACGUUUAAUAUCAUUCUUUUACUGUGCUCUCUUAAACCACAGUUUCAGUUGGUUUCGGGGGAUAUUUUCUCUUUGCUUUUUUGCUCAAAAUUCCAGCUGUGAAUGAGUAAAAAAAAAGGGGGAGAAAAAAGAAAGAAAAGAAAAAUCUGUUUUAAUUCCUAGACAUGAAUGAGGCAAACAAGAUAAUCAUCCUAAUCAAUCUGGAAGAAGAGUCUGCCUGUUGAUUGGCAGCAAAAACAAUUGGUGAAAUUGGUGAAGACUCUUUCAGCUGUCAUCAUUCUCAGACUCUCAAGACCAGCUUCAGACUGGGACUAAUGACAGUGCCAAAGUUCAGCAAGAUCCUGUCCUGCAAUCCAUAGGACAGCAGGACUAAAACCAUAGCCACAAUGCUAAUUCCAACCAGAUGGAAGCUAAUUAUUUUUGUAGUCCAUAUAAAUCCUUUUUUAAUGAAUAAAACUAAAUCCCCAGAGCUCCCUCAUCUUGCAGGUUUCUCUGGAUGUCCCACUUCUGCUUUCCAGCUGCUUCAACAAGUCACGGUUCAAAGCAUCAGUCCCCCUCCCCUAGUUUUAACAUCGUUAUCAAGAAAAUAUUCAUGUAUAAGAAUCAGUCACUCCAUUGUUGUCACAAUUUUUUAACUCUGUGCUUGACGUUUCUACCUGCUGUUUUUCCUUGCAAUAGUAAUUUCCUAAAUGCUACAAAGUAGGGCUGGGCGAUAAACCGAAAAUUUACAGAUACUGAAAUUUACAACUAUAACCAAUGUCAUUUUGCCCAUAUCGGUAUAGUCAGUGUCAAUAAAAUAAAUAAAUACAAGUUGGUUUUGGAUGUGUGUAGGUAGGCUAUGGUCUCAUGUCCCUUUAAGUUGGAGAGUUAGUUGGAGCGGCGGCUGAAGUAGAUGAAGCUAAUGUGGGAGGGGGUGAGCAGCUUUUGGAGUAGUUAUCAUCCCUUUAUUGUUUUUAUAGGUGAACUGCAGAAUGUAUCAUGAUAUUGAAUUGAGGUGAUAUCAUCCAACCCUACUUCAAAGUUUUACACUCAUAGAAAACAAAUACGGGAACAGAGCAGGUCUGAUAUCUUAAUCCUUUAUCUUAAAUCCAAGUGUCUCUAAAAUAUAUGACUGAGAAUAUGGCGGGUGUUUUGCUGCAAAGCUAAAAGCAAGUCAGAGCAUCAGCAACAAGUGCACAAAUCUUUAUAUUACAUAAACAGUCACACGCUGGCUGUGCUGUAAACUCACAAAACUGCACAUUAGCACCUCCUUUUUGUUUAUCAGCAGAUUUUAAUGUGUUUAUCAUCUGCUGCUUCAGCAUGUGUUUGGGCUUUGUCAGAUUCAUGCCAACUCUGCCUCAGGCUAGACAAUGUUUCAUCACAGACCGCUCCCCCAGAUGUUGUUCAGUAUGUGUGAGAGGAGCAUCCGAGUUGGAAGAGCGAGCAUAUCCUCUCUCUCUCUCCACUUUAAAGUUGCACAGUUAAUAGGCAUCUAAUUAAAUGUCAGUGGGAGGAACUUUUUAACCAAAAGGAAAAGCUUUCAUCCUGUAUGAUUGAAUUUGAAAUAAAUCAUGGCCAUGGGCACUCUGCAUCACAUAAUAAUUGUUGGAGAAGUUCAAGGUCAAGAUUUUCACAAGAUUUUCACUCCCAUUCCACCUGCUGCUCGUGUGUAUCAGCAUGCUCGUCCUGUCUGAAUCUGUCAUGUUCUGCAGCCACCUGACAGCGCUCUCUUGAGUUCCCCCUUUAUGUGUAUCGAUCCACAGUUACGAUCUACAGGAUUCACAGUACAGGGUCACAAAGCUGGUCUAGAGUCUUUAUACUGGUCACAUGUCAAAUGAAGUCCCUCUUCAGUUUGACAUAUCCAAUGACAUCUUGGCCGUUUUAGCAGUUUACAUACUGAUUUAUGAAGUAGAACGAGCCCUGCCUUCUUUGUUAGUUGUUGUGUUAUAUUAUAGGUUUUAAUUGACACUGAAAUAACCAGUUAAAUUAUUUACAGCCCUCUGAAUUUGUGAAUUUCCUCAUAACAUUCUCCUGCAUUUAUGUUGAUUUUAUUUGAUGUAUCUUAAAGUAAGAUCUGGGUUCCAGACCAUGAGUUUCAGGGUCUUAGUGAAUGACCUGUUAAACCUAAACAGCGUUUUAACCUUAUUCCAAUUACAUCUAUCAUCUUUUAGCUCUGACAUUAAAUGAUAAUCACUUCAUUAGAGCCUGAAAAGUGUGCCGUGGUAUUUGGCAUGAAGUUAAUAGCAGCAGACCCUUUAAGUCCAGCAUGAUACGAUACGUCAGGAUACCACAUGAUACGAACUAGUAUGAUACAAUAUGAUAUGAAACAACAUGACGCAAAACAUGAUAGAAUACGGCACAUUAUGAUACUAUAUCAUACAAUAUGAUACAAUAAUAUAAGAUAUAUGAUACUGUAUGAUAUUAUAAGAUACUUGAUAAUACAAUAUAAUAUGAUAUUAUUGUCUACAAUACAAUACAAUACAAUACGAUAUGAUGUGAUAUUAUACAAUACAAUUAUAUGAUAUGAUAUGAUAUGAUACUGCACAAUACAAUACAGUAUGAUACGAUAUGAUCUGAUAUGCCACAAUACAACGCAAUAUUAUAUAUGAUACUACACAAUAUCAUAUGUGAUGAUAUGAUAUAUGUUAUGAAAUGUUAUAUGUUACUAUAUGAUAUGGUACUACACAAUACAAUAUGAUAUGAUAUGAUAUGAAAUGACACUAUAAAACACAAUACAAUAUGUGAUAUGAUAUAAUAUGAUAUGAUAUCAUAUGAUACUUUACAAAACAAUACAAUGUGUGAUAUGAUAUGAUAUGAUAUGAUAUGAUACAAAUGAAAAUUUGUCAUUGACUCAAGUGUAUCACAUGCUUAACUGCAUCCACAAUAGUACUAAUAAAGAAAACAAUGUUAAAAUAGCAAAACCCCUUUUACAGAGAACACAUACCAAGACCACCACAGCAAACAAGCACAUAUAUCGCACAAAAGGACAGUAUUGUAACUGUUAGGAUGAGUUUCUUUAGCCAGUCAUGUCAGCCUUUAGAGUGGUGGAGCUGUGUCACUCAAAUACCCCAGACACUUUGGUGUUAGAUUGCUGGAGCCGGGGGCCUCCUACAACCAUCCCUGAGCAAGGAACCCUGUACACAUUAUUUACAUCAUACAGGUCCCCAAAAUACGUUCUGCCUGGAUAUUUCCUUCUUGGGACCUUCCACAUGUUCAUCUAAGGCUUUUGAAAUAUGUUGUCCUUUGUUUUUACCAUACAUGGAUUUCUCUUAGGGUCAACUAAAUACCAACAGUAUGUUUAGGAUUGUGAACCGCUAUAUAUACUUGAAUGGUCUUGGACCACUCUUGGCCACACUUGGGGGUGGGCUACUCUUUGCCACACUUGGGUGUGGACCACUCUUUGCUACAAUUGUGGUGGCUACACUUGGGGUGGUCACUCUUUGUUACACUUGUAGAGGACCACUGUUGGUCACACUUGUGGCCUGCUGAAGCUGUAACCCAGAUAUGUAAUCAGUAAAGCUUGUCAAAAUGAUCAUUCGUGUGGACCUUCGAUUCUUUCUAGUGUGAACCUGGGCUAGGCAUCCUUACAGUAACAAGAGAAGAUAGAAGCUAUAACACCGAGCACAUCAUGACUUGACCAUGACAUCAAGCCCCAAAGCUGUCAGAAACAUUAUUUAUCACACAGAGGAGUGUGUGGGUUAAGCCUCCAAAGAUUAGACUUGGUCCAGCACAUCAUACAGAUCCAACAUACAGAUUUGGAGUACGUAUGUAAUCUUCAAGUCACCUUUGUCAGAUUGCUGUUUAAUCCAAUUCUGAUAAUCUCAUGACCAUUGUAGGUGUUUCAGCGAUUGGGGUCAGCAGAGGCCCCCCUGAUCAGUCUGAGUCUGUGCAGACCCAUGAGUUCAGACUCCUUCCUAUCGGGACCAUCAUUAUUUGUUCAACUAUUUGAACUCCAGGAGCUCUUCUGUUGAAUUGGACCUCAUGGGCCUGCCCUCGUCUCUCCAUGCACAUCAAUAAGCCUUGGCUGCCAAUAACCCUGUCGCCAGUUAAUUGUCUUUUUUCCUCCCUUGGAGCACUUUUAGUAGGUAUUGAUUAUCGCAGCCCACGAAACACCCACGAGAGCAGCAGUUUUGAAGAUGCCCUGACUCGGUUAUUUUGCCACAACUGUUUGACCCUAGUUAAAGUCCCUCUUAUCCUUAUCCCUUUGCAUUUUGCCUGCUUGCAACACAUCAACUUCAA